GACGAACGCUGGCGGCGUGCCUAAUACAUGCAAGUAGAACGCACAGUUUAUACCGUAGCUUGCUACACCAUAAACUGUGAGUUGCGAAUGGGUGAGUAACGCGUAGGUAACCUGCCGGGGAGCGGGGGAUAACUAUUUGAAACGAUAGCUAAUACAGCAUAAUAUUGAUUAUUGCAUGUUAAUUGAUUGAAAGAUUCUAUUACAUCACUACCAUAUGUACCUGCGUUGUAUUAGCUAGUAGGCGAGGUAACGGCUCACCUAGGCGACGAUACAUAGCCGACCUGAGAGGGUGAUCGGCCACACUGGGACUGAGACACGGCCCAGACUCCUACGGGAGGCAGCAGUAGGGAAUCUUCGGCAAUGGACGAAAGUCUGACCGAGCAACGCCGCGUGAGUGAAGAAGGUUUUCGGAUCGUAAAGCUCUGUUGUAAGAGAAGAACGGGUGUGAGAGUGGAAAGUUCACACUGUGACGGUAUCUUACCAGAAAGAGACGGCUAACUACGUG
rnacentral:rRNA from 1 species